rnacentral:rRNA from 1 species
GAUGAACGCUGGCGGCGUGCCUAAUACAUGCAAGUCGAGCGAAUGGAUUAAGAGCUUGCUCUUAUGAAGUUAGCGGCGGACGGGUGAGUAACACGUGGGUAACCUGCCCAUAAGACUGGGAUAACUCCGGGAAACCGGGGCUAAUACCGGAUAACAUUUUGAACCGCAUGGUUCGAAAUUGAAAGGCGGCUUCGGCUGUCACUUAUGGAUGGGCCCGCGUCGCAUUAGCUAGUUGGUGAGGUAACGGCUCACCAAGGCAACGAUGCGUAGCCGACCUGAGAGGGGGAUCGGCCACACUGGGACUGAGACACGGCCCAGACUCCUACGGGAGGCAGCAGUAGGGAAUCUUCCGCAAUGGACGAAAGUCUGACGGAGCAACGCCGCGUGAGUGAUGAAGGCUUUCGGGUCGUAAAACUCUGUUGUUAGGGAAGAACAAGUGCUAGUUGAAUAAGCUGGCACCUCGACGGUACCUAACCAGAAAGCCACGGCUAACUACGUGCCAGCCGCCGCCGUAA